GUCCUCUGCUUGCACUCAUUGCAUGGCUGCCAAAUACUUCCUUCUGUCGUAGAAGCAGCGACGGCACAAAAGGUGAAAAGUGAGAGAGAAACGACCCAGAAUCACUUUUUUUGGCAGCAAGAGUAGCAAAGCUUACCCUGAGUUUGUCCUGACCUACCUAGAGGAACUAAAUGAAAGAGAGGAGGUGACCCAGACAGAAAACCGUAUUCACCAUGGGGCCUGGUCUGCAGCUCAUCAGGAGAUAGACAGCAGCUCAGCAGAAGAGGUCACAGUAUUAAGCCAGAGGCAGGUUCUGCAAAAAAACAAUAUGUCAGCAACCCCAAUCAGAAACAACUUUCAGGACCUUUGGACGCCCAUUUGAUGCCUGCGGAUCCCCUGGGGGAGACUCCACAGCUGACAGUGGCACUGGUGAGGAAACCAGAAGCGAAACAUCCUAAGGCCCCAGCUCAAAGGAGAGGCCACACAGAGGAUCUCGGGCUCACAAAAGGAACAGCCGCCUUCUGCCGAUGGAUGGUGCCCUGGAGGAGAACAGGGGAAGCAGCAGCAAAUGAUGUCAGUGGUAAGGAAGCAAAGGAAGCUGCAGAAGUUCCAGACUUGUAGAGACUGUCUCUCAAAUACCUCAGGACUUGCCUGGAUGCAGCUCCCCUAACACUUCUUAAAACAACAGUGUCUGAGGAGGUGUGAACCAACGGGAAGGAGCAGGAUGAAAAAGUGGAAAGAGAGAUGAUGUUUGAAGCAAAUUUCUUCCGUCCUACUCCCAUGGUUCAAAUCCUGGCUGCACUGAAAUCAAGGAGAGUUUUGUCAGUG